AGUAGAAGUAGGGGUAGGUGGGGCAGGGAUGCAUUCUAGGGACUACCCAGCUAGGGGCCGGACCUGGAGAGUAUUGUCAGUGGGUGGAAAGGACUCCCCACAUACACAACUUUCCUGGGCCUCCCAAUCACAGGUGGGGAAAGGGGGCUAUAUUAGUCUUAGAGACAGGUGGACUUGUGGCCUUCUUUGCCAGGAGGGGGUUGGAAAUGUCCCAGUUUCCCUGGUCUGAACCCCUAGAAAAACUGCAGGGAGUAAAAGAGGGGGUGCUUCUCCCUGAAAUCAAAACAGCAACCCUGACAGCCCUCCCAGCCUCCACCCUAUGAGAGCAGAUGUUUGAGAGGCACUGCAGGGAGUAGAAGCCUCAUUACACAAACACACGUGCGCACACACACACACACACACACACACAUGUGCGUGCAUAUACACCACCCCCCAGCUCAGUCAUUUGUCUUGUUGGGGGCCUAGAAAGAGACACACAGACAAGGGGUCUGCUGCAGAAAAUGCUACACAGCCCCUUGCUCUGCCAAAGCAGCUCAAGACUAACGAAUCUCAGCUGUUCUCCGAAAUCAGAAAUGAGCGCCGGUGAAUGCUCCCACAGACUCGUGUAUGUGUGUGUGUGUGUGUGUGUGUGUGUGUGUGCGUGUGUGUCCCAAUUCAGACUGCUCUUCCUCCCCAUUCACUGUGAGGAUGGAUAUAAUCUUAUUUUUGUCUCUUGCUCCCCUAACACCAGGGAAUUCACUUGCUGAGUUUUCUCGUGUGUUGUAGGAACCACCGCACUGUGUGGCCUCUGGGUUCUCAUCUCUGUGUAAACAAACACGGGCUCGCACGAGCAGAGCAGGAUCUCCACUCCCUCCUGCCGCAGUAGGUCCCGAGGUCGGCCGACUGUCCGCUUAGCAAGAGGGCAGGGACACUCAGCUGCCAAGGGGUGCUGCUGGCAACCUCGGCCUUGGCAGUCCGGGAGAAGGGGAGUAAGAAGAACAACGGGAAGCUCUGAGCCUUGGGGGGUUCAGGGAGAACUCCCCCACCUUCAUCUCCAUCUUCAGAUCAGGACACAGGCCUGGACACCUGGAAUCCUUCAGCCCCUGUUAAAGGCUCUGCAUCCCAACCAGCAUUCCUCCAGAGGUCAGCCCUACAGAGCUGGAGGCCCCGGGAGGCCUUGCAAUCUGAUCCGUGGUUCAGAAACUCCAGACCCCUCAUCAAAGGCAGAUGUUCAGACGUGCUUGUUUCCUGGCUUCUCCUCCCCUCCUUCCCUGGCCAGACACAGACGUGACAGGAACCCAGCCCUGAGAGAGAAAGGGAGAGACUGAAGACUCUGUACCCAAAGCUUCCUGGAGUACAAAGCUCGGUGUUUACCUGCGGUGAGAGGCCUGAGUUCCCAGAGCCCUCUUGCAGGAGCAUGGCCAGUCUGAUGUGCCUCCCCUGCAGGAGAUAGCACCUCCAACAUGAUCUGAGUCUCUGUGAGGUGUCCGGACACUAAGCCCAGGCAGGGUGGGGCCAUGUGCCAUGCCCCCCCUUUGGGUCCCCAGCUCUGGCACUGUGCUAGGGCCUGACAAAGGAACUAAUAAGAUCCCCAACCCCUAAAAGGGAGUGUAGGGUCCCAGAGGGUCCUCAUGGGCAGAGGUCCCAGAGAUGCCAGCCCCCCUCACCCAUCCCAGAGAGGUCCUGGAUGGAAAUACUUGUGAAAGAAAAACAUGUUUCUGCCCCUGCUCUUUCUCUAAACCCAGAGCCCCAAGGACCCAAACAAAAAUGUCUUGGGGCCAGAUUUCUGCCACUUAGAAGUGCUGAGAUCUCCUGGUAAGUUCUCGGGAGUGGGUAACUCACUAUGCUUAAUCACUAUCAAAGGGCAGCUGCCUUCCCCUGCCUGCCUGGAAUGACACACAGAGGAGCAGCUGAAUAGGUGAGCUCAGCACUUUGGCUGCCCACCACCAUGUGGUCUUAGAGAUGUACAGUGUCAGAACGGGAAGGGACACUGGAGGUCAUAGGCCAGCACCGUAGGGACAUGCCUCAGGCCUGGAGAGUCCCCAGCACCCCGCUUCCAGUUAUCUCCCCAAUACUUAAAUGUGGUCCUGCGCCAGCAACACCAGCAGCACCUGGAGCUGACAAGGAACGCAGAUGCUCAGGCCCAGACCUUUGGAAUCAGAAUCUACCUUUUGACAAGAUCCCUGGUUGACUUCCCAGCCCAGGCCCAGGCUUCCUUGGAAUUAGGUCCUGCCCAAGAGAGGCUGCAGCCCAGUCCACCCCAGUCACCACUGCCUCCUUUCCCCCAGAGAAAAGAUUCAGAUGAGGGCGAUGGGGUCAUAACCACAGAGGGUCCUAGCUGCCUGUGCUGAAGAUGGGCAGGAGAAGCUCCAUGCCUUUUCAUGCCUCUCGGCCCACCCCUCUCUCCACCUUCCAGACUCUGACUGUCUUGAAGCACGGAGCAGUGGUGGGCAGUGGGUCACACACAGGAUCUCACCUGGUCUGACCAAACUGUGAAGUGCUCCUGGCUCAACCAUUCUCUAGCCAUCGAUGGUCACAAAGGAGACCUAAUGCUCCAGCUGUGCUUAUCCCUGCACUUUGGUUUGUGUCCCCCCGGUGAGCCCUCUUCUGGACCCCCUCAGUGGGCUCCCUAGCCCCAGACUAGAGCCAAAACUCCACUUCCUGCAUGCGAUCCGACACUCCAGCUGAGCUCCAGCCAGCAGCAUCAGGGAAAGGGGAGAGGAGCUCAGUUGCUUAAGAAGGCAGUUUGGCUGAACCGGAAAGCCCUGAACAGCGAUCGAGGCCCCUAGUGUGUGAAUAUCAUCAAUUCAUGUAUUGGUAUUAACAUCUGAGUGUGAAUUAGCUCCUGGAAGAAGUGGGAUGGGACAUCUGGCCCAUGACAUUUUAGGAGACCUGGUCUCCAGAAGGGGAAAGUAUAGGUCCAGCUGGUUUCCGCUCCUCCCACCCUUCUCCAGCCAGCCACUUCUGCAAGGCCAAGGGAUGCAAGAGGAGCCUCCACCCACAGGUCUGUGCCUGGGGUGAAGUCACUAGUUUCCUGUUUGCCCCUCUUUCUUCACCUGGGAUUUUGAGGGAUUUUAUGAGGGGGAGAGCUGCCCCUGUCUAUCCACUGGUCUCCUGCCUCAGAGCUCUGCCUUCAAGGCAGCCAUCACCUUCCCCAGAAGAAGGAAGGGUGGUAAGAAGGGAAAGAGGAACACUGAUGUUUACAGGGCUCCUCACACACGUUGGCCACUGCACUGACUGUGUAACCAUGGGCUCCGUCAGUUCUCACAACACUGUGAAUUGGUACUGUUCUAUUCUCAUUUGACAGUCAAGGAAACUGAGGCUGGAAGCAGUUAAUAAUGUGCACAAGGUCACCCAGCUAAUAAGUGGCAGAGCCAGGGUUAGAACCAAGUUCUGUCCAAUUUUCUCACUUUCUGCCAGGUCUAACAGGGUGAGGUCAUGGGUGCAUUGUUCUCAUUCUGAGGCCAGCCUCAGGAGGUAGACAGCUCAAACCCGUCCCUCUUCGUGGACAAAAACCAGCAAAUGAACCUCUGUGCUGAAGCCCCUUCCCUUCUCUAACACUCCUCCUGGAGCAAGUUUACAAAAGGAGAGAUGGUAAGCCAGCCUGAGUAGCACCCGCUGGCUCCCUGGGCCCAGUGGCUGUGCCAGCAUGGACAUAGGACCCAGAGAUCCCAGCGCCCCCACCCCAUAGUCUCAUUCCCAGGAGAUCACAAGCCCCUAGUGCUGCAGAGCUCCUGCUGGUCUGAUGUCAUAAUGGCCAGAGGGUGCAGAUUCCAGGGCCCUGCCCAUCCUAUCAGGCAGGAGGGCUGGAAAAAGAGCCACCUCGAGCUGGGAAGGGUGCAGGGCUUCCAGCUGCAUACUUCUUUCCCCCCAACCAGGGCAGGCACAGGGUGAAAAGGAUCAGGGGUAGUUUCGCCAGGCUGACCUGCCAGCAGCACCCAAUAGCUGAUCCUCCCCCUCCCCCACCCAAGUCAAUCCCAAUAUUUAGGAAACUAAUAUUUAUUGAAGUAAGUAGUUGUCUUAUUGAAGUGGUGGUUGUCUUACUUUACCCAUGAGCAAUAGGUGCUGUUAUGUUCAUGUCACUUUGAGGAAACUGAGGCCCAGAGGGGCUUACCAACAGGUCAGAAGUCUCACAGCUGGUGGGUACAGAAAUCAAGAGGUAAGUCCAGGCUUCUUUGCCUCUCUCUCCCCUCAGGGCCAAUACAUCCCCCAGGACCUCAGUCUUUUUUUUUUUUUUUUUUUAAAGAUUUUAUUUAUUUGAGAGAGAGAGUGAGAGCAAGAAAGAGAGCAGAGGGGAGGGGGCAGAGAGAGAGAGAGACUAGCAGAGUCCCCACUGAGCAGGAAGCCCUACUCAGGGCUUGAUCCCAGAAUGCUGAGAUCAUGAACUGAGCCAUUUUCAGACACUUAACUGACCGACCCUGCCACCCAGGUGCCCUGGGAAACUCAGUCCUUUUAAAGGUGAGCUGGACUUGAUUCUUGACACCGGAAGCAGACUCUCCCACUCCCAAGUCCUUCAGCCCCUCCAGUGUGGUCAGUGGCACUCCAGGCCUGACUUCUGCACUGCCAGUGCAGGCUGCUGGAGUAUCUCACCGCAGGCCGAGGGCAGCUAGAAAGGUGCAUCCCACAUAAGGAGCAGGUCACCUGUUCCCUUGUCAUCCUCCCUCUGCUCAGAAACUUUGCAAGGGUCUCAUUGCUUCUCAGGAAAAUGUAGACUUCACAGGUGAAUCCUCCUCCAUCUAACCCCACCCUCCUCAGUGUCCCCAUGACUCCCCAUCACCCCCUUUGUCUCAGCUAAAAUGGACUGGUCUGCGUUCCUCCACUAAGGCCUGCAUUUCCCUUCCCCUCCUCCUCUGCUGGGGUCUUUCUUCCCCCUGAAAUCCCCACCCAGGCACCUUCACCUGUCAGGAGUCUUGUGUCUCCUUCGUGACCCAUUACAAAUGCCACCUCCUCCAAUGCACACAUUAAUGUGACUCCCCAUGGAUCUACUUCACCAGGUUUACAGUUCUCUAAAGAAUAUCUCAUCCCCCCAGUCUGUUGUGAGCUCCUAGGCCAAAGCCCUGUCUGGUUUCUUGGUGUGUCUUCCCUGGUGCCCCACGCAGUGCCAGCCACACAGCAGGUGCCUAGCAGGCCUGGGUGGAUCAGAAUGACCAUGGCAUCUCUCUAAGAGGCAAGGUCUUGCAUUAAGAGGGCUGGGGUGGCUCAAAACGAGACUCGGAUUUCCUGGGGUGCAGAAUGUUCCUGAGAAAGGCUCUGCCCCAUUUUGAGGCUGGUUAGAGGUGCCAGCCCUGUCACUAGGAAGCAUGAGAAAUCUGGGA
rnacentral:lncRNA from 1 species